GCCAGGAGCGCGAAGGAGACUCCCUCCGCCCGCGCCUGGCGGAUCUCCAGCUCCCGCCCCUGCCUCCUUGGUAGCCGAGCCAGAACUCCAUCUGCGAUGAGGCGGGGACUCGGUUGACAAGAGGCGUUUUGUCUAUGGACUUCAAAAAUGGGCGCGUCUACAUCUCCAAGUACUUAAAAUCAGUGUAUUUCUGUACGUAAGCCUAUGUGUAUUUUUUUUUUUUUGGUAGCCUUCCUUUUUGCCGGAAACCAUAUUAAAGCUGUAAUUACUUUAUUUAAUGUCACGCCUCCCUUGCAAUGAGCCAUCCUGGGCCUGUGAAGAACGCAAGUGUCAUGAGCCUCAGCGCUAAGAAGUCGUCAGUGAGCAGGGCCAGCCAGAGGGGGUUGAGGCCGGGCGGGGUCUGAGGCCUUCUCCGCAAAGCCUGGACACCCUGAGGCUGGCAGACAAGCCUUGCUCUGCUGCUGGAGGAGGACUACACAAAUGUAGACUUGGAAGAGAAUCUCUGGGCUCUGCCAGGGUCACAGUGUUCAUGGUGCAGAAGGGGCAGCCCCCAUCAGAGCAGGGGGCUAGGUACCAACUUUCCUUCUCCCAUAGUGCCAAGAAGAUGGGUAAGGCCUGCGGAACUUUCCACUUGUGCAAGGUGAGCCUGCAGGAUUUCAUUGGCUACCUGAGGUCGAGGCAGCUCUCUAUGGCAAUGCUCCCUUCCUUUCCUGUGGGUUACAUUGCCAUCCCACUAAGCACAUCCUGAAGGAAGCUCUUCUCUGAGCCCUCUUCAGCAUGCAGGCGACAAGUCACGUGCUGUUCCAGCACCCCCAGUCAUAUGUGGCAGGUCCUGGAUGUCACGGACAGAAGCCACCCCUCCAAGGGAAAGACCAGUCUUAUGAUACUGCAAUAAGUACCCAAGUCCAAGGAGGAUUCCAGGACCAAGGGCUGCAUUGGCCAACUGGUUUACUUUGUAAAAAUUGUGUUAUUGUGUUUAAGGACACAUCUCUCCACGAGGAAGCCAGGUUCUAUCUGAGGGGUAAAGUCAUUUGUUUUGUUACUCCACCAAGGAGGAAGAACAUUUCUGAAAUUCACAUCUUUGAUCUGAGCAAGAAAACUUGGACAGUCAGAGAAUGAGUGGUCUCAUAGGACUGGAAGUUGAGGAUGUCAAGAUUGCCAAUGAGGGAAUUGCUGGGGGUUGGGAUGGAAGAUAUUUCGCUCCAGGUAGAAAUGAGGAAGCCAAGGAGGGUACUAAAAACUCAUGCCACAUCUUUUGGGCAAGGGAGUAGCUCUCUCAGGUAGUCAGUGAAUUGGGUUAGGAUCUGUGAACUGUGGGGGCAAAUUAGUUAUUUUGGAGCCAAGCUUCAUGCUGGGAAAGCCACUGAGGCUUAGCAGAGCCUAGAGAAACCCAAUGGGUGAAAGGAGUAAUGUUUACACCCAGACUAUCCCAUGGUCUGUUUGUGUCCCCUCCCCCAAUUCUAUGUUGAAAUUCUAACCCCUAAGGUGAUAGCAUUACAAGGGGGGGGGGGCUUUUGAUAAGAUCUGGCAAGUCCAUGGUGGUAUGGUAACAGACAGAGAGGGGUCCUUUGAGAAGUGAUUGGUCAUGAGGAUAGAGCCCUCAUGAAUGGGAUCAAUGCCCUUAUAAAAAGACUCCAGAGAGCUAGCUUGUCUCCUUCCAGCACUUGAGGCUACAUGAGAAGAUGUCUGCCUAUGAGGAAAAUUCCUAGGACUUGAUCUUGGACUUCUCAUCCUCUAGAAAUGGGAGAAAAUUAUAAAUUUAUGCUGUUUAUAAGCCAUGCUGUCUAUGAUUUUUUAUGGCAACCUGAAUGGACUAUGAGUACAACUUUAACAUCAUAGUUAUCGUAGUGUAUUGUGGUUUAGAUGUGGUGUCUCCCAAACGCUCACGUGUGACAAUGCAAGGAAAAACAAUUGGAUUAUAG
rnacentral:lncRNA from 1 species